rnacentral:rRNA from 1 species
GUCUAUAGCCAUACCACCAUGAACGCUCCCGAUCUCCUCCGAUCUUGGGAGUUAAGCAGGGUUAGGCCUGAAUAGUACUUAGAUAAGAGAUCACCUGGGAAUACUGGGUACUGUAGGAG